CACGUAGGGCGCAAGCGUUAUCCGGAAUUAUUGGGCGUAAAGAGCUCGUAGGCGGUCUGUUGCGUCCGCUGUGAAAACUCGGGGCUUAACCCCGAGCCUGCAGUGGAUACGGGCAGACUAGAGGUAGGUAGGGGAGAAUGGAAUUCCCGGUGUAGCGGUGAAGUGCGCAGAUAUCAGGAGGAACACCGGUGGCGAAGGCGGGUCUCUGGGCCGAUACUGACACUGAGGAGCGAAAGCGUGGGGAGCGAACAGG
rnacentral:rRNA from 1 species